GCCGGUCUCCGCUUCUCUCGCAGUCCUUCAGUUUUCUUGCUCUUUGCUCUGCUGUUGGAACGUGCUCUCCAGACUCCCAGGUCAGAGAAGAGUUUCCUGGUUUGUAGCAGGAAGUUGC